rnacentral:rRNA from 1 species
UACGUAGGGGGCAAGCGUUGUCCGGAAUCAUUGGGCGUAAAGAGCGUGUAGGCGGCCCGGUAAGUCCGCUGUGAAAGUCCAGGGCUCAACCUUGGGAUGCCGGUGGAUACUGUCGGGCUAGAGUCCGGAAGAGGCGAGUGGAAUUCCUGGUGUAGCGGUGGAAUGCGCAGAUAUCAGGAGGAACACCGAUGGCGAAGGCAGCUCGCUGGGACGGUACUGACGCUGAGGCGCGAAAGCGUGGGGAGCGAACAGG